GAGGGUAUAGCUCAAGUGGUAGAGCACAUGCUUAGCAUGCAGGAGGUCCUGGAUUCAUUCCCCAGUACCUCCU
rnacentral:tRNA from 1 species